rnacentral:rRNA from 1 species
GAUAAACGCUGGCGGCGUGCCUUAUGCAUGCAAGUCGCGCGACGAAACCGGCUUCGGCCGGCGGAAAGCGGCGAACGGGUGAGUAACACGUAGGAACCUGCCCAGAAGUGGGGGACAACUUCCGGAAACGGAAGCUAAUACCGCAUACGGUCUACAGACCAAAGCCUUCGGGCGCUUCUGGAGGGGCCUGCGGUGGAUUAGCUAGUUGGUGGGGUAACGGCCUACCAAGGCGACGAUCUAUAGCUGGCCUGAGAGGGUGGUCAGCCACACUGGGACUGAGACACGGCCCAGACUCCUACGGGAGGCAGCAGCAAGGAAUUUUGCGCAAUGGGCGAAAGCCUGACGCGGCAACGCCGCGUGGGGGAAGAAGGCCUUCGGGUUGUAAACUCCUUUUGCGAGGGACGAAGAUCUGACGGUACCUCGCGAAUAAGCCACGGCUAACUACGUGCCAGCAGCCGCGGUAAUACGUAGGUGGCGAGCGUUGUCCGGAUUUACUGGGCGUAAAGCGCGCGCAGGCGGGCUGAUCAGUCCGGGGUGAAAUCUCACGGCUUAACUGUGAGGGGUCCCCGGAUACUGUCAGCCUUGAGGUGCCUAGAGGAGAGUGGAAUUCCCGGUGUAGUGGUGGAAUGCGUAGAUAUCGGGAGGAACACCAGUGGCGAAAGCGGCUCUCUGGGGGCAACCUGACGCUGAGGCGCGAAAGCGUGGGGAGCGAACCGGAUUAGAUACCCGGGUAGUCCACGCCGCAAACGAUGAGCACUAGCUGUCGGGGGUAUCGACCCCCUCGGUAGCGCAGCUAACGCGUUAAGUGCUCCGCCUGGGGACUACGGCCGCAAGGCUAAAACUCAAAGGAAUUGACGG